AACUCAUUGCGCGCCGAUUUCUGAAGCCGAAGCAUGAAGAGUUCGCCUUUAAGAUCAACCAACUCCUCAUUAAUUUGCUCGGUGGACAUAACCCUGAUUUCCUUCAUUUCUUCUUCUCUCUUCGCCAUCAUUACAACGGAGGGGAGCGAGUUUCCAGAAAAAGACCGUGUCAUUUUGGCAGGUACCGAAAUUGGGAGGGGACAUGUGUGGCGGAUUUGGAUGCCGGAGAAGCUAGAUCUGGGGGAUGUAGAUAAGGGUUUGGGAAGGACAAUUGCAGUGGAAAGAUUGAACAUGGCUGGUUUUCUG
rnacentral:misc_RNA from 1 species